UUGGCAAACAGUAUCACGUUUUGGUAUUCGUAAACGGAAAAAACAUCACUCUGCUGCACACGCUCAACAAAAAUGAAAGAAUGGUUGAGUAGGGUUUCAUGAAACAGACAUUCUUUUACUUGAGUUUCACAUAUCUCAUCCGAAAAAAAAAUGCACGACUGAGGAUACAGUACAAAUUUUGUUUCGGUUUCAAUCUUAUUUUCACUUUUUUGUUCGGGAUUUGAAAAAAAAACUUUUUUGUUACUGUGAAAAUUCGAAACUAAUGUGUAAUUUUUUAAGCGUGUUAAGUUUGUUUGCCUCCGACGUAGAAAAAAAAAGAAAAAAAAAGUUGUGAAGCGAAAAAAGGUGAAUCAAUUUGUGUUGAAUGUUGUAUUUUUUCAAAAAGAAGUGUUCCAAUGAGGUUUCUACUACUUUUCGGGAACGAAAACCUCUGCGCCUUGUGUAAAAUUGAAACCUCCGGAUGUGAAGCCUGCAUCAAAACCAAUUCAAACACAACAACCCGCUCGGACCGAUGUUCCACAAUCGAUAUAUCCCCGUAGGGUUCGUUACCGUUCGGUCCCCAGCAAUCAACAAGCGGAUUAUCUACAACAAGCAUUCGACGGAUAACACUUUCGGCGAACCUAAAUCAUUGCAAACCCGGGCCAAAUUCAGCACAUUUUAUAAAUGUGAUCGCGAAGUACCUAGUUGGGAUCUGUUUCCCUGCGGCAAAAGGAAAUGACACCGGCCGAAAUUCAGCAGCUUUUGCCAAUCAGAAGAGCUGGGCAAAAGUGAUUUUUGUGUGACUUCGCAAAUCUAGGAAAUCCAGGAAAUGAUUUCAUUUUUAUAAGUGAAAAUAUAUUAUAAACUUUUCAACAUUGUG